AGAAAUGGAGCCAAUUGUUAUUCUGGUUUGCUACAAUGGAAAAUAGGUAACCUCAAAGAAGAUGUGCAAAUACGAAAGGGGUGAUUCAAAAGGCUUAAUAGUUCCACGGACCAUCACAUUUGCUGAACUGUUGGAUCAUGUGUAUCAAAUUGGUAAUACAAAUUUGGUAUUUUCCCAAAUUUCCAAUUUUAUAUGCAGUGCUUUGUAUUUGUUUUUUGGCCGUAUCACGUUUCUAUAUUUUCGUUGUUCUUCAGAUUUUGUCAUUUUCAAUCUUUCUGUUAUUUGAGUAUAUUCGGAAAUUGGGCAUUUCCUAGUAAGGUAAUUUUUCGAUUUUCCAAUUUGGCAAUUUCGUUUUCUAUGUUUUUAAAAUUUCCAAAAAUUGCUUAGUUAUAGAAUCCAUUUUUGGCCUGAAAUCCAAUUUUAUUGCUAUUAUGUAAUGCUCUAAAUUACAGCCAAGGAGUAAUGGUGUAUAUUUCAAUCCAAUCAAUUUAAUGCACCAACUACAUAUCAAAUUUCAUCAUAUCUAGACAUGCAACUAACUCCUUGAACACAAUAUAAAAUAGACAAGUUUCUAUACAUAACUAAAGCAUAGGAAGCUUCUUAAUGUGAGGUUUGGGAAAGGUCAUUAUUCUGCACUUACUCAAAGACAUUCUCCAGUAAAGCUUACCAUAUUUUUGUUUACAAGUUUUCAAUAAAUACAAUUGUGAGACUGAAUGUACCUUUGAAAUUUGUUUUUGCAGACUGCAAUUGUCAAUUGUCCCCAUCAAUAGUUAAAGAUGUCGGACGUACGACCUCCAAACGAAGAUGUCAGUUAGUCGGGAGACCAGCUGUGGCAUGUGCCGUUCCCAUCUCCACCUCUGACUCCAAUUGCCACCCUGUUGCGUGUAUCCCAGCGAUAGUUAUUACUACCCUAUUGCAAUUAUAUUGCCCUCAUAUUGCUACUAGAUUGCCUGUAUAUUGCCCAAAUAUUGUAGUUCUAUUGUAUGUAUAUUGACUAGGGCUCGUCAUUGGGUUUAGAGUUUAGGGCCUACUUUAUUUGAAAACAAGAAGAAGAGGAGAAAGGAACAACGUGCCUUUCAAAAUGAGGCACUUAGCUGCAUCAUAAUUACACCGUAAGACAUUGUAAGAAAUAAUUAUUAAAAAUUAUAAGUAUGAAAAAAUUAUUUAGAAAAAAAGGAAG
rnacentral:lncRNA from 1 species